UGCAAGUCGAGCGGACAGAUGGGAGCUUGCUCCCUGAUGUUAGCGGCGGACGGGUGAGUAACACGUGGGUAACCUGCCUGUAAGACUGGGAUAACUCCGGGAAACCGGGGCUAAUACCGGAUGCUUGUUUGAACCGCAUGGUUCAAACAUAAAAGGUGGCUUCGGCUACCACUUACAGAUGGACCCGCGGCGCAUUAGCUAGUUGGUGAGGUAAUGGCUCACCAAGGCAACGAUGCGUAGCCGACCUGAGAGGGUGAUCGGCCACACUGGGACUGAGACACGGCCCAGACUCCUACGGGAGGCAGCAGUAGGGAAUCUUCCGCAAUGGACGAAAGUCUGACGGAGCAACGCCGCGUGAGUGAUGAAGGUUUUCGGAUCGUAAAGCUCUGUUGUUAGGGAAGAACAAGUACCGUUCGAAUAGGGCGGUACCUUGACGGUACCUAACCAGAAAGCCACGGCUAACUACGUGCCAGCAGCCGCGGUAAUACGUAGGUGGCAAGCGUUGUCCGGAAUUAUUGGGCGUAAAGGGCUCGCAGGCGGUUUCUUAAGUCUGAUGUGAAAGCCCCCGGCUCAACCGGGGAGGGUCAUUGGAAACUGGGGAACUUGAGUGCAGAAGAGGAGAGUGGAAUUCCACGUGUAGCGGUGAAAUGCGUAGAGAUGUGGAGGAACACCAGU
rnacentral:rRNA from 1 species